rnacentral:rRNA from 1 species
CGUCUAGAGAGAGAAGUAGUGCCCGUACCGCAAACCGACACAGGUAGGUGAGGAGAGAAUCCUAAGGCCGGCGGAAGAAUUACAGUUAAGGAACUCGGCAAAUUGACCCCGUAAGUUCGCGAGAAGGGGUGCCUACGAGAGUAGGCCGCAGAGAAUAGGCCCAAGCAACUGUUUAGCAAAAACACAGGUCUCUGCUAAAGCGUAAGCUGAUGUAUAGGGGCUGACGCCUGCCCGGUGCUGGAAGGUUAAGGGGAACACUUAGCGCAAGCGAAGGUGUGAACUUAAGCCCCAGUAAACGGCGGCCGUAACUAUAACGGUCCUAAGGUAGCGAAAUUCCUUGUCAGGUAAGUUCUGACCCGCACGAAUGGCGUAAUGACUUGGGCACUGUCUCAACUGUAAAUCCGGCGAAGUUGUAGUGCGAGUGAAGAUGCUCGCUACCCGCGAUUGGACGGAAAGACCCCGUAGAGCUUUACUGUAGCUUAGCAUUGAGUUUUGGUAUUGUCUGUACAG